GACGAACGCUGGCGGCGUGCCUAAUACAUGCCAGUAGAACGCUGAAGGAGGAGCUUGCUUCUCUGGAUGAGUUGCGAACGGGUGAGUAACGCGUAGGUAACCUGCCUGGUAGCGGGGGAUAACUAUUGGAAACGAUAGCUAAUACCGCAUAAUAGUAGAUGUCGCAUGACAUUUGCUUAAAAGGUGCAAUUGCAUCACUACCAGAUGGACCUGCGUUGUAUUAGCUAGUUGGUGAGGUAACGGCUCACCAAGGCAACGAUACAUAGCCGACCUGAGAGGGUGAGCGGCCACACUGGGACUGAGACACGGCCCAGACUCCUACGGGAGGGAGCAGUAGGGAAUCUUCGGCAAUGGACGGAAGUCUGACCGAGCAACGCCGCGGGAGUGAAGAAGGUUUUCGGAUCGUAAAGCUCUGUUGUAAGAGAAGAACGAGUGUGAGAGUGGAAAGUUCACACUGUGACGGUAUCUUACCAGAAAGGGACGGCUAACUACGUG
rnacentral:rRNA from 1 species